rnacentral:ncRNA from 12 species
GGGUGUCCUAUAAAUGGUUAUAGGUCAGGUAAUAAGCUAGGUCGGGCCGCCAGCU